AUGACAGUAUGUUUGUUCGUUGAACAGGAACUUAACCAAGCUGUCUGGGGACCCAAACUUCACCAAGUUAUCUCUGAUCGGUUCUCGGUUUUUGUUGAGAUGGUCGAUGAACUGAAGAAGCGUUUUGCUGGCUUUGCCGAAGGAGUGGUGGUUAUGGUAUGCCCAGUGCUUGUAGCAAUUGCUCUCGACAAGGUCGACGUCAAAGUGUAUGGACACCACGCUUUCUUUGCCAUGCUCGGCAUGGCAGCUAUCACUUUGAUAAUCGGUAUCUGCCCCUUUCUCGUCUGCUGGUUCUCCGGGAUAUUCGUCAGCCCUGUCCCGGUUACCGCUAUCCUGGCAACCCUUUCCUCUUGUUCCCUCCUCAUCCUCACCUGCUUCAUCGCCCAGCUCGUUGUCCCCAAAAACACUUUAAUCAUCUGGGGCGUCGUAUUUGGAUUCCUCGUCCUGCUUCGAGCAGUCGAGUACUACCGUCGAGGGGAUUUCAAUCAGUAUGAACAAAACAAGAUACUCAAUGAAUCACAUGAGUUCUUGACGGGUGUCACUGGAGUUCUCUUUCUGGGGCUUGAAGGUUUGGCACUCGAAGGUCAUGACGAUCCGAUGUUUCAAAAGGGCGGGCCUGUGGCGAACGCCAGCUUCAUAGUUUGCGCUACUGGCGUAUUCAUGAUGUAUCUCGAGAUGACCCCACCUAUAGAUUUCUCACAACAACGUCAUAUUGCUCUUUUGACUCUGACGCUUGACAGCUUCAUGGCUGGUGGUACCUUCAUCCUGUUGAUGCUCGUCAUGUUUAAGCUCAUGGGGCUCUUCGCCCUCUUCCUCUUGGCACCCCCGUUUGUAAUCAUCGCCGUACUUGUGUACCUUGUCGCCUUCGAUAACGCCCCCGCAGGUGAUGAGUCCACACCGGCUUCGCUGGAACUGACAAAAGUCACCUUCACCGGGUUCUUGGCUGUGUCAAUUACAGUCAUCCGCGACACUUCGCCCAGCAAAUUGACCGGCUGUUUCCUACUAUUCGCGGCCGCGGCUAUUGUGUUUGGGCUCUCAUGGAGGCUCCUGUCACAGUCCCACAUAAGGAAGUCUUUCACCGGUGUUUCAUCUGAUCCUUUUGAUUCUUCUGCCAGUCUGGCUUCCUUGGGCACACACGUCUGCAUUGUAAUCGCUACGUUUCUACUACUAGCAAUGGCCUGGCCAUCGAGAGGAAAACCAUGCCAAAUAGUGAAACCAUGUACUUGA
rnacentral:rRNA from 1 species